UAACACAUGAUCAACUUAACCUAUAGAGAAAAAUAACCUCUGGAAACUGAGGAUAAUGUUUCAUAGUUGAAUUGGCUUGGAAAAGUUUUUCGACGAAAGGGGUAAAAAAAAUGGUUUUUAUCUGCUAUAGGAUAGGAUCGUGUUCGAUUAUGGUUGUUGGUGAGGUAAUGGCUCACCAAGCCGAUAAUCGAUAGGGGCCGUGAGAGCGGGAGCCCCGAGAUGGGUACUGAGACAACGACCCAGGCCUUACGAGGCGCAGCAGGCGCGAAACCUCCGCAAUACACGAAAGUGUGACGGGGUUACCCAAAGUGUUCAAUUUUGAACUGUGGUAGGUGAGUAAUGUUCCCUACUAAAAAGGAGAGGGCAAGGCUGGUGCCAGCCGCCGCGGUAAAACCAGCUCUUCAAGUGGUCGGGAUAAUUAUUGGGCUUAAAGUGUCCGUAGCCGGUUUAGUAAGUUCCUGGUAAAAUCGGGUAGCUUAACUAUCUAUAUGCUAGGAAUACUACUAUACUAGAGGGCGGGAGAGGUCUGAGGUACUGCAGGGGUAGGGGUGAAAUCUUAUAAUCCUUGUUGGACCACCAGUGGCGAAGGCGUCAGACUGGAACGCGCCUGACGGUGAGGGACGAAAGCCAGGGGAGCGAACCGGAUUAGAUACCCGGGUAGUCCUGGCCGUAAACGAUGCAUACUAGGUGAUGGCACGGCCAUGAGCCGUGACAGUGCCGUAGGGAAACCGUUAAGUGUGCCGCCUGGGAAGUACGGUCGCAAGGCUAAAACUUAAAGGAAUUGGCGGGGGAGCACCACAAGGGGUGAAGCCUGCGGUUCAAUUGGACUCAACGCCGGAAAACUUACCAGGGGAGACAGCAGUAUGACGGUCAGGUUGACGACCUUACCUAACGAGCUGAGAGGAGGUGCAUGGCCGUCGCCAGUUCGUGCCGUGAGGUAUCCUGUUAAGUCAGGCAACGAACGAGAUCCGCACCUUUAUUUGCCACCAAGAGGUCACGACUUCGUUGGGAACACUAAAGGGACCGCCGUCGAUAAGACGGAGGAAGGAGCGGGCAAAGGCAGGUCAGUAUGCCCCGAAACCCCUGGGCUACACGCGGGCUGCAGUGGUAUGAACAAUGGGCUGUGACUCCAAAGGAGAACCA
rnacentral:rRNA from 1 species